CAUUGGCGGGAUUUCGCCGUCUUCGUUUCUCUUCCUUCGCGGACGAACACGCGCCGGGGCUGCGCUGUGCGAUUGCAUCUGCGCUGGUCGCCGAUGCAUGCACGCAAGACCCUAGUCCUGAUAAGGAUAGCGUUAGGGGCUUGUAGCUCAGUUGGUUAGAGCGCGCGCUUGAUAAGCGUGAGGUCGGAAGUUCAAGUCUUCCCAGGCCCACCACGCUUCGCCGUUGGCUUCGCGUGGCACUGCCACGCGAGACGAUGAAGCGAAGCGUGUCCGGCAUAGCCCGAAGGGCGACGUCGGACUUAGAGAGGCGCUUCGUCUUCUGGUUACGGGGCCAUAGCUCAGCUGGGAGAGCGCGUGCUUUGCAAGCAUGAGGUCGUCGGUUCGAUCCCGUCUGGCUCCACCAGAUGGUUUGAUCACCGAGAAUCUUGACCGUCGUCCGCGAAACAUCACUUCGCAUUCACUAGUCUGGAUAGACAGUGAACUGCGUGUUUUCUGACAUCGUAAAGAGGAGAUCGAUCCGAGUUGGGUCGUGCAGCANAUCGUUGCGCGGGCCUUCAUUAUCUCCGGAUCAUUUCGGCGCUCGCUUUCAGCCGUGAGGUUGAAUGCGGGUUGUAAAUGAUCCUUUUAGCGAAGCUUGACCGCCUCGCUAUCGGAACGAUCUUACGAAGCAAGCUGGUCUUUCUAGUCAAUGUCCGGCUGUACGUAGCAUUCAUCGAGGGUGCGCGCCGCAAGGCAAUCGUACAGA
rnacentral:tRNA from 1 species